GUGAAUCAUCGAAUUUUUGAACGCAAAUUGCGCUCUCUUCUAAGAGGAGGCCUGUUUGAGUUUCAGCCCAAAAAAAAUCGACAUAGUUGCUGUUACUCUGUGACAUUCGUCGGAAAUGGGGUCAUCUUAAACCUUGGGGUUGAAGCGGCUUAAAAUUUUCGUUACGAUUCCAAUAACGAUUCUAAGCUGUUAUUUUCUUAUACGUUUAAGGUAUCUAUCUUUAUUAUACGUGGCCGUUACAUCGGAUCACGUCCAUAAAUAUU
rnacentral:misc_RNA from 1 species